UUCUUCUUUCUUUUUUUUCUUCUUCUACCGCUCCUCUAUUCUUCUUAUUCUUCUUCUUCUUUAUGUCGAACUCAGUUCAAUGGAUUAAGCUUAGUUUAUGGAUAACUCGUAGUAUUGUAGAGAGAUAGUCGAAUCAAGAGUUUUAUUAAGAAGUUUCAGAGAAAGAAGAAUAAGAAAUCAGUUGAGAAGUUAGGGUUCUUGAGUUGAUUGAGGGCUUGUGUGGAACAACAAAGGUGUUGAUGUUGAUAACCGUGACCAAGAGAAUGAAUUCUGCAUGAUGAUGUUAAUUAAAGAAACAAUAGAAAUAAGAAUUAGGGUUCAUGGAUUUAAUUGAGUUAUCUGUUGAAUUGAAUCAAGGAAGAUGAAAUUGAAGGUUUAAGUGACAAAUUAGAGAUGGGUUUUCGAUUGAGUUUUGAGUUAGGGAUUCUGAGAUGAAAUUGACAAUUAGGGUUUCUUAUUGAAUUGAAGUUUGAAUGAAAUUAUUCAGUUGAUCGAGUUCUUCAUAGAUGAAGCAUAAAUGGGUUAUUGUUGAAUUGGUGAGGUGAGGCAGUUCUGUUGAAGGUUCUGCAAAUUAGGUUUUUGUAUAAAUGUUCAGAGAUGUGUUAGACGAAGAAAUUGAAGCUGAUGAAGACUGUAAGGCGUGGAUUGAAGAAGAAUGUCACUGGUAGAAGCUAAACGUGCUAAUGAAUUGAGAUGGAACAAGCUUGAUUUGGGUGAACUUGAGUUACAUGAUUGUUAACUUAAGAAGUAUAAGAGUGACUGGUGUUGGUAGUACCAGCAGAGAGGUUGUGGAACUGAAUUAACUGUGUAAUGGAAUUUCAGGUGGCUGUAUUGAGAUGCAGUUGAAGUUAAAUUAACUGGUAGAGACUCAGUUGGGUUAUAUAGGGUUACUUGAGAUGAAGCAAUUGGUUAGUGAUAUCUUGAGUAAAUGAAAUGCAGAUGAUAAGAUUGUAGUUGUGUUGAUACUGCUGAAUUGUGAAUGGAGUAUGAAAUGAAUUGGGUGAUGGGGUUUACUAAUGUUUCAUUUGGGGCUUGCCACUGCUAUUGCAGUUAAUCCGAGUUUAUGGUUGUGAAUUAGUUAUGAAGCUUAAAUAACUUUAAUGUAGGAUUGAAGAAACACAGUUAAAGUAUAAUUACAGUUGUAGGUGAUUUUACUGAAUUACAAGUAGUGAUGGUGUUAAAUUUAAGUUGUAGUUAAUCUAAAAUUGGUGGUGAUUCAGUUUAGUGGAUGUGUUGCUAAAAGCUGCAACUGCAGGUAUUUGAGCUGUAAUUGUGUUUGUAAUUUAAUUCUGAAGUUUGUUUAAGAUAAAUAUAUUGAUAUUGAAUUGUUA